GGUAGGUUGGCUCAGUGAUCAGAGCAUAGGUCUCGUAACCGAAAGGUCGCCGGAUCGAAUCCCGCUAGAGGCUG
rnacentral:tRNA from 1 species